rfam:Glycine max cultivar Williams 82 chromosome 13, whole genome shotgun sequence.
UAUUCUUCUUGGCCUUUUGGCUAAGAUCAAGCGCAUUGUCUGUUCUUAUUGGUUCAGUAUCUGACAUGAUGGGGAGAGUUCAACACAGUAGCUAGCUACUGGGACUCUCACGUUUCGUCCAUGUUUUGCAUUAUAGCAGGGAUCAUACACUCCUU